AUGUCACAGACAAGAAUUAACGUUGUUGAAUCUAAUGAAGAAUAUAUGGUGGAAGAACCGAUCGAACAUCAUAAUUCUGCUGCAAAAGAUGUUGAAUCAUCCGAUGUCCAUGAAAGAACUACUAACGAUGAAGAAGGUUUCACAGAUUGUGAUGACGCUGAUGCGGAUGAAAGCGAAGAUGGGAAAAGGAUAAUGGUUCGCUGCAAUGACAUAGAUCAGCCAGUUGGAAAAGAGGCUAAACAUCUUGGGGAUUUUCUUGGCUCGGUUGCAAGGAAUGGAUCACUAUGCUGCUUGAGCUACAAGGAUUGGAGAUUGCUCAAAACUAAAACAAAUGUAAAGGCUAUACUAGAUCAAGUGAAGAUGAGGUUCCUUUACCCUCCUCGCAUGGAAAAGUAUAUAUUGAAGAUAAUUGGAGAUAGAUGGAGGCAACAUAAGUCCGACCUGAAAGCAAUGUAUUUUGAUGAGAAAAAAAGCACCAAAGCCAAUUACAACAAUAAACCAAAUUCCGUGACUCCGGAUCAGUGGAGAUCUCUAGUUAAUCAUUGGACAACCCAGAAAGCGAAGGGGAUUAGUGCUACAAACAGAAAUAAUUGUUCAAUGAGGAAGUCUACACAUACUACUGGGACAAAAAGUUUCCCUCGUAAGAGGGAAGAAAUGAAAGAUGCAGAUCCUGAAAAGAAGUACCCUCAUAGGGCUCACUUGUUCAUGCACACGCACAAGCCGAAAACUUGCAAGAACAAAAUCAUUAAUGCUCAUGUGGAAGAAUUGAAAGAUAUUAUGGACAAGAACCCUGAAUUAGCAGAUAACAGCGAUGGAAAGACUGCAUGGAAAGGAGAUGCGUUGAACAAAGUAUUAGGGGAUGACAAGCCUAGCCAUGUACAUGGUUUGGGACUAGUUCCAAACCCAAAAAAACUUUUUGAUGUUUCCACUUCACAUGUAUUCCAGAAUACACAUUUUACUUUGGUGGAGGAUACACCAAAUGAAGAUAUGCUAGCUUUUAGAGUUGAAAUGGAAAAAAUAUAUCAAGUAAAUAAAAAUCAGGAUGCUAAAAUUAUGGAACUAGAGGAGAAGAUGAGAAGAAUGGAAAGACAACCAAAUCAGGAAAUUUCAGAUCCAAUGGCUACAAUUGGGCUUGAACCUUCGGUUGAUGGACACAACUCAAACAGAAAAAGAGUGCUUGCUCCUCAGGUUGAUGGACUCCAUCUUGUUAAAAAACGAUCAAAUAAUUUACAGAACAAGCCAAGUGGAUCAAACGAUGCAGAUUUGCAAGCAUCAAACAAGAAUUCUGUUUCAGAUAAGAACAAAGAAACUAUGGUUCAUAAUGGUGGCAGUUCACAACAACUAGAAAAAUGCUCUGCUGCACACAAGAAUGCUGUCCAGAACCAAGAAACUCCUCAUAAUUUCAGUGCUCAGCAAGGGGAAAUAAAUUCUGCUGCACAUAAGAAUGUUGUUCCGAACAAAGAAACUUUGCUUGAGAAUGUUAGUGCACGUCGAGGAGAAAAAACUUCUGUUGCAAACAAACUGACCAAAAAAACAACAAAAGGUGCCAAUGCAAGCAGUAAGAGUGCUCAAAGUGGUUCGCUGAGCUGGUUGUGUGCUAGUGAAUUACCUGCAGGAACUAAAGUAUUCUUGAAGAGCCUGAAAAACCAUAACAGGGAUGUAGCUCUUGCUACAGUUGUAAGUUGUGAUCCUAACUUUAAACUUGAUGGUGCUGAAAUUAGGAAUGAAUUCUGGGCAGUGCAUGUUGAUGUGGCACUUGUGAAAACUGAAAAUUUGGUACGGAGUCGCAAAAACUGCACUACUCUCGGUAAUGCAGAAAAAACAAAGAUUGCAUGGCCCUCUACCUUUAUUCAAAAGAUAAAUGGAUGA
rnacentral:rRNA from 1 species